UACAGCGGGUGCAAGCGUUAAUCGGAAUUACUGGGCGUAAAGCGUGCGUAGACGGUUAUUUAAGUCGGGUGUGAAAGCCCCGGGCUCAACCUGGGAAUUGCAUUCGAGACUGAAUAGCUAGGGUGCGGAAGAGGGAAGCGGAAUUUCCGGUGUAGCGGUGAAAUGCGUAGAUAUCGGAAGGAACACCAGUGGCGAAAGCGGCUUCCUGGUCCAGCACCGACGUUCAGGCACGAAAGCGUGGGGAGCAAACAGG
rnacentral:rRNA from 1 species